AUGUCUACAAUGAGAUUGUUCCUGACAAGCAGCCCAGUUGAUGCUUCUCGCCAUCUCCUCUGUAGUUACCUGCAAUCUCUUUUGGGUCUUACACAUCAGCCAGGUCAUGAUCAUGCCAAAGAAAAAGUAGUUGUAUCUUAUGAUUCUAUGGUCCAAUCUUUGCAUGCUCUGAAGCCAUCGGUGCUAGCAACGUCGUGGAAAUGGUACCUUCCUCCCAUGGGAUGGGUGAAGUUGAAUACCGAUGGAUCCUUUGCUUCCACAAAUCAAGCGGGUGCAGGCAUUGUUCUUAGAGAUGAUUUAUGGGCCAUUAUAUUUUCUUCAUGUCGCCAACUUUUCUCCUGCAGAGAGGCUUCGGAAGCCGAGUUAAUUAUGUGCGUGCAUGGAAGAUGUCUCUCUUGCUUUGGAAUGGUGUGA
rnacentral:rRNA from 1 species